AUUGAACGCUGGCGGCAGGCCUAACACAUGCAAGUCGGACGGUAGCACAGGGGAGCUUGCUCUCCGGGUGACGAGUGGCGGACGGGUGAGUAAUGUCUGGGAAACUGCCCGGUGGAGGGGGAUAACUACUGGAAACGGUAGCUAAUACCGCAUAACGUCUUCGGACCAAAGUGGGGGAUCUUCGGACCUCACGCCACCGGAUGUGCCCAGAUGGGAUUAGCUGGUAGGUGAGGUAACGGCUCACCUAGGCGACGAUCCCUAGCUGGUCUGAGAGGAUGACCAGCCACACUGGAACUGAGACACGGUCCAGACUCCUACGGGAGGCAGCAGUGGGGAAUAUUGCACAAUGGGCGCAAGCCUGAUGCAGCCAUGCCGCGUGUAUGAAGAAGGCCUUCGGGUUGUAAGGUACUUUCAGCGGGGAGGAAGGCGGUGAGGUUAAUAACCUCGCCGAUUGACGUUACCCGCAGAAGAAGCACCGGCUAACUCCGUGCCAGCAGCCGCCGUAA
rnacentral:rRNA from 1 species